rnacentral:rRNA from 1 species
GAUGAACGCUAGCGGCAGGCUUAAUACAUGCAAGUCGAGGGGCAGCAUAGUGUAGCAAUACAUGGGUGGCGACCGGCAAACGGGUGCGGAACACGUACAGAACCUUCCUUCGAGCGGGGAAUAGCCCAGAGAAAUUUGGAUUAAUACCCCAUAGUAUAUUGGAGUGGCAUCACUUUAAUAUUAAAGAUUUAUCACUUGAAGAUGGCUGUGCGUCUGAUUAGGUAGUUGAUGAGGUAAUGGCUCACCAAGCCAGCGAUCAGUAACUGGUGUGGGAGCACGACCAGUCACACGGGAACUGAGACACGGGCCCGACUCCUACGGGAGGCAGCAGUAAGGAAUAUUGGUCAAUGGACGCAAGUCUGAACCAGCCAUGCCGCGUGGAGGAUGAAGGUCCUCUGGAUUGUAAACUUCUUUUAUCUGGGACGAAAAAGGGCCUUUCUAGGUCAACUGACGGUACCAGAUGAAUAAGCACCGGCUAACUCCGUGCCAGCCGCCGCCGUAAAAC